rnacentral:lncRNA from 1 species
CCCUACAUAGGUCCCACACCUCCGGCUCGCUCCAGUUAGAGUUGUAAAGGAGAUCUCACAAGCUGAAAAGGCCAAAUCAGGAAUAAAAACGUUACGCGAUUGAGCGGAUUAGCCUGAAAUCCUGGUUUCUUGUCGGUCAGAGUUAAACUCCCGUCGCCUCAACGGUAUUCGCCUGAAUGCAGGGUAUACUAUACCAAUGAGCUCAGCUUUUACAAACCAUGCUCGACAAUACCCCACAAAGGUCUGAUGCCGUCAUUUGCAGGGUCACAACCCUAAACCUCC